UGGCAUAGCUGAUGUUUCAGGCUUUAGGCUGUUGUAAAUAUUACUUUAUAUGUUUUCAAGACAGAGAGAGGGAGACAUGCGAUGGUAAAUCCCCAGCUCCACCCUUCCACUGCUUCGACGCCGCGCUGGUGUCACAGUCACCCUCGACAUCUCAACCCCAACAGUGGCAACGGCAAGGGCAAGAAGGGAUUUGAGGGUUCGGCACUGAUUAGAGGGAUUUGAGGUUUUGCAAAAAAAUCGAAAAGAAGAGAGAGAGAGAGACAGAGAGAGAGGAAUCAGAAUUGGUUUUCUGGCGUAUAGGGUUUCGAUUAUGAGCUACAGACUGAGCUUCGCCAUCUCAAUUCUCAAAGACCAGGUCAAGGAUGAAGUAGUAGGUUACAAGUUUUAUAAGCAAGGGUACAAGUUUGAUUUUCAACCACCAAAAGAUCUUGCUGAUCAACUGGUUGGAGCUAUGUUUUAUGUAAUUGGAUACUUCAUGGGUCAACAAGGAGCUUGGGGGUGUCUCAAGUACAUCCCUCAUUGGUACGAUAGAUCAACCCAGUAGAUUUGGUCAACGAAAAGGAAAAAGGAACUAGGAACUGGAUCUCCAUCCAAUUCAGUUGGCAUGGGUUGAACUGACACCAAUUGGGUUAGUCGAUGUUAUGACAAAGGUGGAUACUGACGUCCACGAUGUUAUGGCAAUGGACGUCGGAGCAACUGAGAAGCCAUCAGAAUCAAGUCCCAUGACAACAAGUGAUUCUUACGUCUUUAUUAGUAUAUUUUUUUUUUUUGAAAUUAUCAUCAAAUGUUAUUAUAAGAGGUAAAAUGGCAACUUCGUGGCAGACUUGAUAUCGUCAUUAUUUACUGUAAUGUUGCAUUAAUAUAACAUAUUCACUUUGUUGCUGAACAGAGCUCUACUUAAAAUUUGAUCAGAGAAUUGAUGGUGCUUUAGAUGGGUCGUGUGGAUUAUGGGUUGGGUUUGGUGAUUGAACUACCCUUUGGGACAAUUAAAGAUGUUAAUAAUUUGUUUUAAUUUGGAAGUUGUGAGAUUCAAUUCGAUUUUUUUUUCUUUUAAUCUGUUGCAGCAAGGAUGACCAUCGAUUUAUUGAGCAACAUAGAGAAUCCAGAUCAAAAAACGCGCAAACAGAGAAACUAAUGAAUGCAAAACCAGAUGAAACAACGAACAAAGCUCAACAGAUGACGAUUUUCUACCACAGAGAAGUGAUUGUGUUUGAUAAUAUACCAGCCGAUAGAGCGAGAGAUUUGAUGUUAGCAGCCAAAGAUUAUCCUUCUUCUACCGGUAAAACCAAUGCUCAUGAUUACUUGAUAGCAACUUCAAAUUUUCCUUAUAACGCACGCGAAUCAGAUCAACCGAUUGAUCAUCUUCGAGUUCAAGCCAACGGUCUGGAUCUACUAAUUGCAAGACGAGCGUCGCUCAACAAGUUUCUAGCCAAACGAAAGGACAGAGCCACCGUACAAGCACCGUAUCCGUCACCGGGAGCCGGACCGUCUAUGCAUGAGCUUAAUUUCGAUAUAAAUAUGUAGAAGUUUGAGUAUUAUUGAUUAACAUGUUUUUACGGACUGCAUCUUGCAGCUGUUUGAAAAAGUUUGGUAAUUUUUUUUAGGGAUUUUUACAUAUUUCCCCCUUC